rnacentral:misc_RNA from 1 species
GAUGAAGAACGUAGCGAAAUGCGAUACUUGGUGUGAAUUGCAGAAUCCCGUGAACCAUCGAGUCUUUGAACGCAAGUUGCGCCCGAAGCCAUUAGGCCGAGGGCACGCCUGCCUGGGCGUCACACGUCGUUGCCCCCCCAUCUACUCCUUCGGGAUUGCGGGGGGCGGAUGAUGGCCUCCCGUGCGCCUUGUCGCGCGGUUGGCAUAAAUACCAAGUCCUCGGCGACGCACGCCACGACAAUCGGUGGUUGCGAAACCUCGGUUGCCCGUCGUGUGCGGUCGUCGCGCAUCGAGGGCUCGAAAAAAUUGCCGGGCUCCGGCUCGGCUUUCAACGCGACCCCAGGUCAGGCGGGGUUACCCGCUGAAUUUAAGCAUAUCAAUAAGCGGAGGA